CCUACGGGUGGCUGCAGUGGGGAAUAUUGGACAAUGGGGGGAACCCUGAUCCAGCCAUGCCGCGUGUGUGAAGAAGGCCCUCGGGUUGUAAAGCACUUUCAGUGAGGAAGAACGCCUGGUGGUUAAUACCCAUCAGGAAAGACAUCACUCACAGAAGAAGCACCGGCUAACUCCGUGCCAGCAGCCGCGGUAAUACGGAGGGUGCGAGCGUUAAUCGCAAUUACUGGGCGUAAAGCGCGCGUAGGUGGCUUGAUAAGCCGGUUGUGAAAGCCCCGGGCUCAACCUGGGAACGGCAUCCGGAACUGUCAAGCUAGAGUGCAGGAGAGGAAGGUAGAAUUCCCGGUGUAGCGGUGAAAUGCGUAGAGAUCGGGAGGAAUACCAGUGGCGAAGGCGGCCUUCUGGACUGACACUGACACUGAGGUGCGAAAGCGUGGGUAGCAAACAGGAUUAGAUACCCUAGUAGUC
rnacentral:rRNA from 1 species